rnacentral:rRNA from 4 species
GGCGACGACGGGUAGCCGGCCUGAGAGGGUGACCGGCCACACUGGGACUGAGACACGGCCCAGACUCCUACGGGAGGCAGCAGUGGGGAAUAUUGCACAAUGGGCGAAAGCCUGAUGCAGCGACGCCGCGUGAGGGAUGACGGCCUUCGGGUUGUAAACCUCUUUCAGCAGGGAAGAAGCCACAAGUGACGGUACCUGCAGAAGAAGCGCCGGCUAACUACGUGCCAGCAGCCGCGGUAAUACGUAGGGCGCAAGCGUUGUCCGGAAUUAUUGGGCGUAAAGAGCUCGUAGGCGGUUUGUCGCGUCUGCUGUGAAAGCCCGGGGCUUAACCCCGGGUGUGCAGUGGGUACGGGCAGACUAGAGUGCAGUAGGGGAGACUGGAAUUCCUGGUGUAGCGGUGG